GACGAACGCUGGCGGCGUGCUUAACACAUGCAAGUCGAACGGAAAGGCCCUGCUUUUGUGGGGUGCUCGAGUGGCGAACGGGUGAGUAACACGUGAGUAACCUGCCCUUGACUUUGGGAUAACUUCAGGAAACUGGGGCUAAUACCGGAUAGGAGCUCCUGCUGCAUGGUGGGGGUUGGAAAGUUUCGGCGGUUGGGGAUGGACUCGCGGCUUAUCAGCUUGUUGGUGGGGUAGUGGCUUACCAAGGCUUUGACGGGUAGCCGGCCUGAGAGGGUGACCGGCCACAUUGGGACUGAGAUACGGACCAGACUCCUACGGGAGGCAGCAGUGGGGAGUAUUACACAAUGGGGGGAAGCGUGAUGCGGCAACGCCGCGUGCGGGAUGCCGGCUUUCGGGUUGUAAACCGCUUUCGCCUGUGACGAAGCGUGAGUGACGGUAAUGGGUAAAGAAGCACCGGCUAACUACGUG
rnacentral:rRNA from 1 species